rnacentral:rRNA from 1 species
AUGCAAGUCGAACGAUGAACCCCGCUUGCGGGGGGAUUAGUGGCGAACGGGUGAGUAACACGUGAGUAACCUGCCCUUAACUCUGGGAUAAGCCUUGGAAACGGGGUCUAAUACUGGAUAUUGACAUUUCACCGCAUGGUGGUUUGUUGAAAGAUUUAUUGGUUUUGGAUGGACUCGCGGCCUAUCAGCUUGUUGGUGAGGUAAUGGCUCACCAAGGCGACGACGGGUAGCCGGCCUGAGAGGGUGACCGGCCACACUGGGACUGAGACACGGCCCAGACUCCUACGGGAGGCAGCAGUGGGGAAUAUUGCACAAUGGGCGAAAGCCUGAUGCAGCGACGCCGCGUGAGGGAUGACGGCCUUCGGGUUGUAAACCUCUUUCAGUAGGGAACAAGGCCAGCAUUGUUGUUGGUUGAGGGUACUUGCAGAAGAAGCGCCGGCUAACUACGUGCCAGCAGCCGCGGUAAUACGUAGGGCGCAAGCGUUAUCCGGAAUUAUUGGGCGUAAAGAGCUCGUAGGCGGUUUGUCGCGUCUGCCGUGAAAGUCCGGGGCUCAACCCCGGAUCUGCGGUGGGUACGGGCAGACUAGAGUGAUGUAGGGGAGACUGGAAUUCCUGGUGUAGCGGUGAAAUGCGCAGAUAUCAGGAGGAACACCGAUGGCGAAGGCAGGUCUCUGGGCAUUAACUGACGCUGAGGAGCGAAAGCAUGGGGAGCGAACAGGAUUAGAUACCCUGGUAGUCCAUGCCGUAAACGUUGGGCACUAGGUGUGGGGGACAUUCCACGUUUUCCGCGCCGUAGCUAACGCAUUAAGUGCCCCGCCUGGGGAGUACGGCCGCAAGGCUAAAACUCAAAGGAAUUGACGGGGGCCCGCACAAGCGGCGGAGCAUGCGGAUUAAUUCGAUGCAACGCGAAGAACCUUACCAAGGCUUGACAUGAACUGGAAACACCUGGAAACAGGUGCCCCGCUUGCGGUCGGUUUACAGGUGGUGCAUGGUUGUCGUCAGCUCGUGUCGUGA